AAGGGUUCUCCUUUGAUGCUGAUGGUGCCCAGGGGAGCAGUACUUUUGACAAGACGUAUCUUUAAACUUGUCAUGGAGUUGCUCUCUUGAGUGUCAUCUAUUGCAGAUCUCUUUAUUCCU
rnacentral:pre_miRNA from 17 species